rnacentral:rRNA from 1 species
UACGAAGGGGGCUAGCGUUGCUCGGAAUCACUGGGCGUAAAGCGCACGUAGGCGGCUUGUUAAGUCAGGGGUGAAAUCCUGGAGCUCAACUCCAGAACUGCCUCCGAUACUGGCGAUCUUGGAGUCCGGGAGAGGUGAGUGGAACUCCGAGUGUAGAGGUGAAAUUCGUAGAUAUUCGGAAGAACACCAGUGGCGAAGGCGGCUCACUGGCCCGGUACUGACGCUGAGGUGCGAAAGCGUGGGGAGCAAACAGG